UGACAUUUUCUUUUUUUUUCCGCAAUUUCUGUUCAAGUAUUUAUUAUGCCCUCUGUGUUAUCAUUUAUUAGCAUUUAUAUUGCCAAUCAUGUUGGAGAGUCCAUGUGGUGAUUUCUGAAAAUGAGAUGUGAGAAAGAAGAGGAUAAUUUAAGUCUAGACCUACAGAUUGUGCUGAUAAAGUGACGAAGAACUACAAUCUUCUUAGUCGUUUCAUUGUAUAAGUGCAAUAAAGGUUUUGUGUCUUUCCUGGCAAACAACUUGUGACCACAGUGAUGGAUCCAGC
rnacentral:lncRNA from 1 species